rnacentral:misc_RNA from 1 species
AACCAUAGAAACCUGCGGAGUACCUGCGGAGGGAUCAUUACCGAGUUUACAACUCCCAAACCCCUGUGAACAUACCUAUACGUUGCCUCGGCGGAUCAGCCCGCGCCCCGUAAAACGGGACGGCCCGCCCGAGGACCCUAAACUCUGUUUUUAGUGGAACUUCUGAGUAAAACAAACAAAUAAAUCAAAACUUUUAGCAACGGAUCU